GCGUACCUUUUGUAUAAUGGGUCAGCGACUUAUGUUCAGUGGCGAGGUUAACCGUUUAGGGGAGCCGUAGGGAAACCGAGUCUGAAUAGGGCGAUUUAGUCGCUGGGCAUAGACCCGAAACCGGGCGAUCUAUCCAUGGGCAGGUUGAAGGUUAGGUAACACUGACUGGAGGACCGAACCGACUACCUUUGAAAAGUUAGCGGAUGACCUGUGGAUCGGAGUGAAAGGCUAA
rnacentral:rRNA from 11 species